UACGAAGGGGGCGAGCGUUGUUCGGAUUUACUGGGCGUAAAGGGCGCGUAGGCGGCCAUUCAAGUCAGAGGUGAAAGCCCAAGGCUCAACCUUGGAACUGCCUUUGAUACUGUUUGGCUUGAGACCGGAAGAGGUCGGCGGAACUGCGAGUGUAGAGGUGAAAUUCGUAGAUAUUCGCAAGAACACCAGUGGCGAAGGCAGCUCGCUGGGACGGUACUGACGCUGAGGCGCGAAAGCGUGGGGAGCGAACAGG
rnacentral:rRNA from 1 species